rnacentral:lncRNA from 1 species
GAGUGUGAGAGCGAGAACAGCCCCGCAGGUCCCGAGGCGCUGGCUGGGGACAAUGCCGCGGAAAGUUCCCAGUCCCCAGCCGCAGAUCUGCAGAAUUGAAAUGAAAUGUUUUGAGCUCUUCAAGCUGACUCGUCAGAAUCCUGGAGCCUUUUAAAAAAUGACGAAUUGGAAGGAAAAAUUACUUUAUCAAUAACCAGGCUCCACCAGGAUUGACCUAGAUGGUUGUUCCUGGCACUUGUCAUUCUCAGCAAGCACAGCUCAGAGAACAAAUACAAAAGACCCAAAGUGCAUUGCAUCUUUUAUGGAAGUGCCCAAUGUGGAAAUCAUAGAUUUCAAGGAAGGAACAAGAAAAUUGAUGAAACAAGUUCAAAAGAAAGGUACCUGUGCCUCAUCAUUCCUAAAGAACACUGAUCAAUGAUCCCAGAAGUAUGCCAUGUUCUCUUAAUUCAUCAGAGACUGAAAGCAAAGGAAAAUCAAGAAAUAAGCUUGGCCAAUUUGAUGUCAAUGGAAAUGCGUGAGAUUUUUAUUCAGCAUUCACACCUGAGCAAUGCUUUUGGUAUG